GUGGUCGCUAACCUUAUAAGUAAUAUCGAUAAUAAUCCCUCCUCUCUUCUCCAAUUGCAAAUUAACUCAAAACACCAAAAUCUCUAGAUCCCAAAUUCUUAUCUACAGAUGAUUGGUAGCUCCACCACCCUCCGCCAAGGUCUGUCGUGCAACGUCAUCUCUCUCUCUCUUCAAAGUUUUGGAGUUGGAGUACCGAAAUUGCAGUAAAUUGGCUUAGACAGAAACCUAGUCCAUCCGGCUGUUCGUCCUAAAUUAGCCCCAUUUCGUGAAUUUUGAUUCCCUUUGAUGAUUUUUCCCAAUUUUGGUUUAUUUUACUUUUUUAAGUUUAUUAAUUAUAGGAAGGGUUGUAAUAAUUAGUUUUACUACUUUUCUUUAUUUUAUUUUUUAUUUUAUUUUAUGUUUGGUGGAUGGUUGACAAAUACCUGUUGAAUGAUUGUAAAUUAAAUCGGACACCUAGACUUAGGCUCUAAAAAUUGGGCUUUGCAAUGUAGUUUGUAGUCCAUUAGGUUAACAUAUUAUAAAUUGGGCUUUAAGUUAAAAUAUAUUUAAACUUAGUAGGCUUUACCAUGUUUAGUUAAUUAAAUCAACUCGUUUAAAAUAGGAUAACUGAAUUGGGCAUUGUCAUGCAAUUGGUAGUCCAUUUAGGAUAAUAACUUGGUAAUUAAAGCAUAACUUGUAAUUGGGCUAGAUUAGGCGGGCUUCCUUGUGCAUAAUUGAGUAGUUAACUUAUGAUUAACAAUAUAAAUUGGAAUUAGAAGUAACUAAAAUGGACUAGAUUUAGCGGACCUCACAUAUUGUAAUGCUUGAUAUAUACAAUUAUUAUAAUGUAUUUAUAGGGAAUAGUCCAUUACAUAAUAAAAUUAAAAAUAAGAAUAUACAAAUAAGGAAGUUGGCUUCCGGAUCCAUCUCUUGAUGUGGCAAAACUUUCUUAUGGAAUUUAGUACGCAACUCAAUUAUUAAAAUCAUUCUGGAGAAUUACCCAGGUGGUGACUUUCUUUCUUCGCGCUAGUCUCAAUGACUAGUUAGCAUGUUCCUAAUUAUGUUGAAAAGUUUUGUAGUGUCAUAGUCGCUAGAGACAUUAAGGUGCGUGCCCGAAAUCGCCACCCACAGGUGGGCCUUGAAAAGUCGUGCUCACAAGUACCAUGAGGAAAGCCUUGAUGAGUGCGUAACAGAGACGUCUUAUGAUGAAGACAAAAAACCAGUGCCCCUGUCCUGAGAAGAGGAAGAGAGAAUAUUUUUAGAGACAGUUCAGACUCUAUUAUAUAGUAGAUAUGUAUAUAGGAUAGGUAAGAAUAAGAUGUCUAUGUAUCACUUUAAAGCCUCGUCCUCCACAGCUAUGCUAGUGGGAUUGACAACCAACAUCUUUGAGAUCCUAAAGACACUACUUUCAGUUGGUAUAACAAUUACAGGAGAAAGAUGAGUGUAUCCAUGUGUUAGAGACCACUUUUAAGGACUGAGUGUGCUAGUUGGUAAAGAGAUGAUAAAUAACACUCAACAAUAUGUAUCAAGAUCUACCUUUUGGCGAGUCGUGAGUUCUACUAUUUCCUAACUACAUUUUGACUUUGUGAUCUGGGAGGGUAAGUAGCCCCAUUGGUACUAAAACUAUGCGUCAUAGAAAUUGGUACCAAAGUUUUAAUUUUUUUUCUUUUCAGUACCUCAACUUCAAUUUUCGUUACAGAGUAAGGUACGCAUUAAGGAUCCGGCUAAUUUUUACUGAGCUGAAUGGUAGAGCUCCGCAUCACCAACUUUGUAAUUGAUCCAGUCAGACUUAAGUUGACAGUUAAGCUCCUCUUUCCACAUAAGCUCCCCAUCCCUAUAAUUGAUUCCAAAUGUGUAAUAAAACCCCAAUUUCAAUAGUUAAAAUCCCUAAAAUCGAUUUUACUCCAAACUCUAUUUACCUCACAAUCAUUGCCCUAGACUAGAAAAGUUCAGUUGUUGACGAAGCUCAUGGAAGACGAAGAACUUGGUGAUGCUUGUAGCGUCCUUAAUAUUGAAGAGUUUGCAUUUAGAGGAGAGGUAUCGCAUUGUGGAUGUGGAAUCCCAAUAAAGCUUUAUGUGUCAAGGACUGUAAGGAACCUAGAUCAAAAAUUCUAGGGAUGCACUCAUCAGAUAAGUAAUGAUUUAGUUCUUGCUACCUUUUUUAUGGUUAGUGGUGAGUAAUCAAUGUGGAAGAAGCUUCAGUGUUAGUGAUGAGUGAUUUAUGUGUUUGUUUAUCUAGGAGGACACUAUGAGUUCUUUAAGUGGCAUGAUGAAUGGGUGAAUGAUAGGACAAAAUUAAAAAAUAUUUCCCUUUAAUGCUUGGGGAGCUUAGGAAGUUAAAUGCCAAUAUGGAAGCUUUUCAAUAUCAGAGUAAGGAAGAAGUUAUUACAGCUUUGAAUAUGGAACGUAAGAGAGAAAUUGUCGAACUACAAAUGAAGGUUAAGAAAAUAAUGAAGGAAUUAGCAUCUAUGAAGUGCAGUAGAAUCUGUAUAAGAUAGGAUUUUAUGUUUUGGUUGGAGUGAUUGUGUGCAAGAUGUAUAUGAGUUAGGGGUAGGGUACCAAUGCUAGUAGCCUUUUGACAUUGUACUGAUUUUGAUAUGUAAUGUUAUCUUGGCAGGAAAGUAUUGUACUAAGCAUUUUGGUUAUGUUAAAGGGAGCAAACUAU